rnacentral:rRNA from 1 species
GAACGCUGGCGGCGUGCCUAAUACAUGCAAGUCGAGCGAACGGACGAGAAGCUUGCUUCUCUGAUGUUAGCGGCGGACGGGUGAGUAACACGUGGAUAACCUACCUAUAAGACUGGGAUAACUUCGGGAAACCGGAGCUAAUACCGGAUAAUAUUUUGAACCGCAUGGUUCAAAAGUGAAAGACGGUCUUGCUGUCACUUAUAGAUGGAUCCGCGCUGCAUUAGCUAGUUGGUAAGGUAACGGCUUACCAAGGCAACGAUGCAUAGCCGACCUGAGAGGGUGAUCGGGCACACUGGAACUGAGACACGGUCCAGAAUCCCUAGGGAGGCAGCAGUAGGGAAUCUUCCGCAAUGGGCGAAAGCCUGACGGAGCAACGCCGCGUGAGUGAUGAAGGUCUUCGGAUCGUAAAACUCUGUUAUUAGGGAAGAACAUAUGUGUAAGUAACUGUGCACAUCUUGACGGUACCUAAUCAGAAAGCCACGGCUAACUACGUG